CCUACGGGAGGCAGCAGUGGGGAAUAUUGGACAAUGGGGGCAACCCUGAUCCAGCCAUGCCGCGUGUGUGAAGAAGGCCCUCGGGUUGUAAAGCACUUUCAGUGAGGAAGAACGCCUGGUGGUUAAUACCCAUCAGGAAAGACAUCACUCACAGAAGAAGCACCGGCUAACUCCGUGCCAGCAGCCGCGGUAAUACGGAGGGUGCGAGCGUUAAUCGGAAUUACUGGGCGUAAAGCGCGCGUAGGUGGCUUGAUAAGCCGGUUGUGAAAGCCCCGGGCUCAACCUGGGAACGGCAUCCGGAACUGUCAAGCUAGAGUGCAGGAGAGGAAGGUAGAAUUCCCGGUGUAUCGGUGAAAUGCGUAGAGAUCGGGAGGAAUACCAGUGGCGAAGGCGGCCUUCUGGACUGACACUGACACUGAGGUGCGAAAGCGUGGGUAGCAAACAGGAUUAGAUACCCGGGUAGUC
rnacentral:rRNA from 1 species